rnacentral:lncRNA from 1 species
GUUUCAUUGCCUGCUCAGUAUCUCUUGCUCACUGGCCAUGACUUGACCAUCUGAAAUCCAGUCUCAGCAUGGAGUUGAUGGUAUAACUGGUAUAUUAAGGCAGGAAUUGUUUCUUGUCUCCACAGGUUAAUUCUUGCAAAAUUAAGUUGAGCUUCUUCAUGUAUUAUAGUUGGCCUUCACCAUGGAUGUGUGAUCUUCUUGUGUUAUGAUGGUGAGCUUCUAUUUAGUUCUGCUACCUUGAUAGAACCUGG